rnacentral:lncRNA from 1 species
AUUACUAUAUAGUAACAUAACUAACUAGAUUUUACUUCCCUAAUUCAUUUUUUACUAUAUUUUAUAUUUAUCAUAAAGAAAUUGAAUUUAAUAUUUUUUUAUUUUUUUCUUUCAAAUUCCUUAUUCUUUUUAAUUAACACACCAACAGUCACAUCCACUACAAUAACACGAACACCACCACCACCACAAAUACCACCUGACCCAUAUCAUUGACCCCGCGUAUGUUGCCUCCAUCUCAAGCCAAAAAACCACCAGACCCAAACCCACCUCCACCACCGAUCACAACACUACCAUCACCUGGUACGUAUCCA